GUGCAUGAUGACUUGAAGUGGUGGGAGGAGUCAGCCCUGCCACAGAGAGUCCACAGAGGCCCUCAGAAUCAAGCAGGGCUGCCCCGAGGCUGGACUACCUUCUGCUAGUACACAUGCCUUGCACCCAAGAAGGAAAGUUUACCAGCUCAGGAAAAUGACCCAGGACUGCACAAAGAUGAGUACACUGAGCCUUAAAGAAGUUAAGAGCAUUGUUCACCAUCCCAAAGCUAAUCAGUGGAAGAAAGGGAAAUGCAAACCCAGGGGAGUGGAUAAACGAAUGACCAGAGGCACAGACAAUCCCCUCAUCAGCACCACUACCAUCCUGGAGAAUGUCCUUGAAGGCAAGAGAAACCUUUCCAGGAGCUCUGAGAAGUAGGGAGACGCCCCGAGCAAGCUGAGCAAGCCAAGCAGGAGUGGGAACGGAAGCCUAAACACAAGCUUGACAAGCCUGAUGCCUGAGCAGUGCUGGAGCAGGUGAUGGAGCCUGGGCUGGAGCUCAGCGUCGUUGGAGGAGGUGAACGUCUACCAGAGUAAGAGGUCCUGAAGGACCAGGGUCUGGACCCAGCCGAGACCUCCCUGAAGGGAGAGCUGGACUAGACCUCCAGAGGUCAGAAACCUUAAACAUACUAUAUAGUUGACCCACCCCAUCUCCACUGUAUAAUUCAGUGCUAA